AGAGUUUGAUCAUGGCUCAGGAUGAACGCUAGCUACAGGCUUAACACAUGCAAGUCGAGCGGUUUGUGCUUUUGCACAUUCAGCGGCAGACGGGUGAGUAACACGUAUCUAACCUUCCCCUUACUUGGGCAUAGCCUCUGGAAACGGAGAUUAAUUUCCGAUGUGGUGUACAUUUCGCAUGUUUUGCGCACCAAAGAUUUAUCGGUAAGGGAUGGGGAUGCGCUCCAUUAGGUUGUAGGUAGGGUAAUGGCCUACCUAGCCUAUGAUGGAUAGGGGUUCUGAGAGGAAGGUCCCCCACAUUGGAACUGCGACACGGUCCAAACUCCUACGGGAGGCAGCAGUGAGGAAUAUUGGUCAAUGGCCGGAAGGCUGAACCAGCCAAGUAGCGUGCAGGAUGACUGCCUUAUGGGUUGUAAACUGCUUUUUUACGGGAAUAAUUAUGAUCACGUGUGAUUAUUUGCAUGUACCGUAAGAAUAAGGAUCGGCUAACUCCGUGCCAGCAGCCGCGGUAAUACGGAGGAUCCUAGUGUUAUCCGGAUUUAUUGGGUUUAAAGGGAGCGUAGGCGGGAGGUCAAGUCAGCUGUGAAAUGUAUCUGCUUAACGGGUACACUGCAGUUGAAACUGGUUUUCUUGAGUGCGUAAGAGGCAGGCGGAAUUCGUUGUGUAGCGGUGAAAUGCUUAGAUAUGACGAGGAACUCCUAUUGCGAAGGCAGCUUGCUGGGUCGUUACUGACGCUGAUGCUCGAAGGUGCGGGGAUCAAACAGGAUUAGAUACCCUGGUAGUCCGCACAGUAAACUAUGGAUACUCUCUGCCGGCGAUAUAUUGUCGGUGGCCAAGCGAAAGCGUUAAGUAUCCCACCUGGGGAGUACGUUCGCAAGAAUGAAACUCAAAUGAAUUGACGG
rnacentral:rRNA from 1 species